rnacentral:snoRNA from 1 species
GAAGAUGAUGAACAUGCACUGGGCUCUGAGCAGUAUUAUGUACUGCUUAAUUUGAUGCACAUUGCAGCCUAGAAAGCUUUGUCUGAUUU